rnacentral:rRNA from 1 species
CUACGGGAGGCUCCAGUGGGGAAUAUUGGACAAUGGGGGAAACCCUGAUCCAGCAAUGCCGCGUGUGUGAAGAAGGCCUGCGGGUUGUAAAGCACUUUCGGUUGGGAGGACUGCUUCUAGCACUAAUAUUGUUGGAAGUUGACGUUACCUUCAGAAGAAGCACCGGCUAACUCCGUGCCAGCAGCCGCGGUAAUACGGGGGGUGCAAGCGUUAAUCGGAAUUACUGGGCGUAAAGCGCGCGUAGGCGGCUAGAUCAGUCGGGUGUGAAAGCCCCGGGCUUAACCUGGGAACUGCAUCCGAUACUGUCUAGCUUGAGUACAGGAGAGGAGAGUGGAAUUCCACAUGUAGCGGUGAAAUGCGUAGAUAUGUGGAGGAACACCAAUGGCGAAGGCAGCUCUCUGGCCUGAUACUGACGCUGAGGUGCGAAAGCGUGGGGAGCAAACAGGAUUAGAUACCCUUGUAGUC